rnacentral:rRNA from 1 species
CUAGCGACUUCAGAGUUUGAUCCUGGCUCAGGAUGAACGCUGGCGGCGUGCUUAACACAUGCAAGUCGAACGAAGCACUCAUGACAGAUUCUUCGGAUGAUGGAUUGAUUGACUGAGUGGCGGACGGGUGAGUAACGCGUGGGUAACCUGCCUCAUACAGGGGGAUAACAGUUAGAAAUGACUGCUAAUACCGCAUAAGCGCACAGUACCGCAUGGUACGGUGUGAAAAACUCCGGUGGUAUGAGAUGGACCCGCGUCUGAUUAGCUAGUUGGUGGGGUAACGGCCUACCAAGGCGACGAUCAGUAGCCGGCCUGAGAGGGUGAACGGCCACAUUGGGACUGAGACACGGCCCAA